UACGUAGGGGGCUAGCGUUGUCCGGAAUCAUUGGGCGUAAAGCGCGUGUAGGCGGCCCGGUAAGUCCGCUGUGAAAGUCGGGGGCUCAACCCUCGAAUGCCGGUGGAUACUGUCGGGCUCGAGUGCGGAAGAGGCGAGUGGAAUUCCUGGUGUAGCGGUGAAAUGCGUAGAUAUCUGCAGGAACACCCGUGGCGAAAGCGGCGAGCUGGAUCACUACUGACGCUGAGGAACGAAAGCUAGGGGAGCAAACAGG
rnacentral:rRNA from 1 species